GAUGAACGCUGGCGGCGUGCCUAAUACAUGCAAGUCGAGCGAACAGACGAGGAGCUUGCUCCUCUGACGUUAGCGGCGGACGGGUGAGUAACACGUGGAUAACCUACCUAUAAGACUGGGAUAACUUCGGGAAACCGGCGCUAAUACCGGAUAAUAUAUUGAACCGCAUGGUUCAAUAGUGAAAGACGGUUUUGCUGUCACUUAUAGAUGGAUCCGCGCCGCAUUAGCUAGUUGGUAAGGUAACGGCUUACCAAGGCAACGAUGCGUAGCCGACCUGAGAGGGUGAUCGGCCACACGGGAACUGAGACACGGUCAAGACGCCUACGGGAGGCAGCAGAAGGGAAUCUUCCGCAAUGGGCGAAAGCCUGACGGAGCAACGCCGCGUGAGUGAUGAAGGUCUUCGGAGCGUAAAACUCUGUUAUGAGGGAAGAACAAAUGUGGAAGUAAAUAUGCACGUCUUGACGGUACCGAAUCAGAAAGCCACGGCUAACUACGUG
rnacentral:rRNA from 1 species